GGUUAAGUGGCGAAAUUGGUAGACGCACCAGAUUUAGGUUCUGGCGCCGCAAGGUGUGAGAGUUCAAGUCUCUCCUUCCGCACCA
rnacentral:tRNA from 1 species